UAUAACAGCCUGUGAACUGAUUUCUAUGUAAAGGACUCAGGGCAGUUUUGUCAUAUCCAAAGGAUAUGACGUUUAUGCGCUCUCCUGAGUGCAACAUUAGCUAACGCUUAGAAAUGCAGUCCACUAACGUCCAAUCUUGAACUGGCUUUCUUCCUAUUAAACAGAGGAAGCAUGGAAGUCAGCUGAAGAAAUAUAGUGAACUGACUACAACUGUCUGCAAGAGAAAAUCUGAGCCUGGGACAUCUCCCUCAAAUCUCAAACAGAUGAAGCUUGAAGAAAUAAAGCAAGUCUCAGAAGUGUGUUGACAAUGCUGUACUCAACUCACUAAGUUCAAGGUCUCCAGCCUUUCUCCCUUGUUGAACAGCCGUCAUUCCACAACCAUGUCAAAGAUCUACAGUCAAACUGCAUUGUCAUAUCUCAAACCACUGUGCAGGGCAAAACUAAUCAAGCCACAUCAGCGAUGAAGGAGCAGGUGAAAAAAGCAACGAGGAAGCCUGCAUACAUAGCCACAACAACUUAUUGCCAGACUGCAAGGAGGAGUUUUAUUGGAGUUAAAGUGCAUUGGCUGGAACCCAGCAGGUUUGAGAGGCAUACUGUUGGUCUUUCAUGCAAGCAGUUGAAGGGCACGCAUACAUUUGAUGCCUUGGCAUGCCUUGCAAUGAAUGACAUACACUCAGAAUAUGAAAUCCGUGAGAAAGUAGUCCCAGUAGUAGAACCACAACAGUUAUAUAAUAGCAACUGUUGGUUGCCAUUAUGGCUGAAGAUGAUGGCCUUCAGUACCAACUGCUGAAGCAUCAUCAGUGUGCUUUUCAUUUGCUAAAUUUGGUUUCUAUGGUGGAUGCCAAUACAAGAAGCUGUCGAGGUCAGCCUUCUCCAAGUCUCAGGCUCUCUGGAAUAAGACUGCAUGGUCCAUUACUGCUGCAGAGUUCUGAAUCUUUCCACAUGAUUUGUCCAAAGGACAAGGAAUAAUUACAAAACAUCCUGUGUAAUCUGAAAUAACUGGUCUGUUAAAAAUGCCUAAUGCAUAGUGGUCCUAUGUGGACGAUUUGGAAAAAAUGUUUUUGUUUUGUUUUGUUUUGUUUUGUUUUGUUUUGUUUUGUGUGUGUUAGGUACAGUUUAGCUGAGACUGCUUUUUUGGGUGAAUAUACCAACACCACAAGUCCAGUUACUAAGGUAAUAAACAUAUUACAGGGAGAAUCCAACAUUCAGAUGGGAGGGCUGGUCCCUUCAAUCACCACCCUCAUCGCCAAGCUUGAGAAAACAAGGGUGUUGCUGAGAUUCUGCAAGCUUUAUGAUGUCCUGCAAGAUGGUUUGAAGAAACAGUUUGGGAAAAUGAUGUGUGACCCAGAGCUGGUUGCUGCAGCCAUUAUUCAUCCAAAAUUCAAAACAUCCUGGACCAGUGAUGAAGAUGUCCUCAAACUAGGCCUCAGUUACAUCUUCCCGGCCACGAUGAGCCUCUGCUGUGGCCUGCUGACAACUCUUCAAGUGCUUCUGAUGAAGAUGAUUUCAUUUCUAAUAUGAAACAUGUACGCACACAGGAAACAACCAAACAACUGGAUGCACACCUGACAUGUACAGCUGAAGGUAUGGACAUGUUCACAUUUUACCCAGCUGUAUCCAACCUGUCGCUCAAGCUAAACACAGUCCUGCUUGCCUGUUUCCUGUGAAAGGCUUUUUAGUACAGCUGGAUGGAUCUUUAGCACAAGAAAGGGAAGAAUAAUUCCUCACAACUUUAAAAAACAGCUUCUACUGAUGUUGAAUAAAGACUUCUUCAAGUUUAACUAGUUUGACCAGACUGAGAAUUUUCUCACCUGUCAUCUGUAGAGACCUGUGAGAUGGACAGUGCAGUAGAGUCAGUCACAACAAAUUGUUUGCAUUGACAGCAGAAGUGCACUUCUUUUGGACUUUAAAA